AGCAGCCGCGGUAAUUCCAGCUCCAAUAGCGUAUAUUAAAGUUGUUGCAGUUAAAAAGCUCGUAGUUGAAUUUCGGGAUCAAUACGUCGGUCGUGCUUUCGGGUACGUACUGGCGUCAUUGGUUUCUCCUUUCUGACGAACCAUGAUGUCAUUAAUUUGGUGUUAUGGGGAGUUUAGGACUGUUACUUUGAAAAAAUUAGAGUGUUUAAAGCAAGCUAACGCUUGAAUACAUUAGCAUGGAAUAAUGAAAUAGGACGUUCGAUCCUAUUUUGUUGGUUUCUAGGAUUGACGUAAUGAUUAAUAGGGAUAGUUGGGGGCAUUAGUAUUCAAUUGUCAGAGGUGAAAUUCUUGGAUUUAUUGAAGACUAACUACUGCGAAAGCAUUUGCCAAGGAUGUUUUCAUUAAUCAAGAACGAAAGUUAGGGGAUCGAAGACGAGUCAGAUACCGUCG
rnacentral:rRNA from 1 species